rnacentral:rRNA from 1 species
AGAUUGAACGCUGGCGGCAGGCCUAACACAUGCAAGUCGAGCGGCAGCACGGGUACUUGUACCUGGUGGCGAGCGGCGGACGGGUGAGUAAUGCCUAGGAAUCUGCCUGAUAGUGGGGAUAACGUUCGGAAACGGACGCUAAUACCGCAUACGUCCUACGGGAGAAAGCAGGGGACCUUCGGGCCUUGCGCUAUCAGAUGAGCCUAGGUCGGAUUAGCUAGUUGGUGAGGUAAUGGCUCACCAAGGCGACGAUCCGUAACUGGUCUGAGAGGAUGAUCAGUCACACUGGAACUGAGACACGGUCCAGACUCCUACGGGAGGCAGCAGUGGGGAAUAUUGGACAAUGGGCGAAAGCCUGAUCCAGCCAUGCCGCGUGUGUGAAGAAGGUCUUCGGAUUGUAAAGCACUUUAAGUGGAGAAGGCAAUUAACCUAAUACGUUAGUGUUUGACGUUACCGACAGAAUAAGACACCGGCUAAACUCUGU